rnacentral:sRNA from 1 species
CCGAGAUUGCAGCUUCCGUGCUCGAACU